rnacentral:rRNA from 1 species
GAUGAACGCUGGCGGCGUGCUUUACACAUGCAAGUCGAACGGAAAGGCCAGUGCUUGCACUGGUACUCGAGUGGCGAACGGGUGAGUAACACGUGGGUGAUCUGCCCUGCACUUCGGGAUAAGCCUGGGAAACUGGGUCUAAUACCGGAUAGGACAAUGGUUUGGAUGCCGUUGUGGAAAGUUUUUUCGGUGUGGGAUGAGCUCACGGCCUAUCAGCUUGUUGGUGGGGUAAUGGCCUACCAAGGCGUCGACGGGUAGCCGGCCUGAGAGGGUGUACGGCCACAUUGGGACUGAGAUACGGCCCAGACUCCUACGGGAGGCAGCAGUGGGGAAUAUUGCACAAUGGGCGCAAGCCUGAUGCAGCGACGCCGCGUGGGGGAUGACGGCCUUCGGGUUGUAAACUCCUUUCGCUAGGGACGAAGCGUAUUUGUGACGGUACCUGGAGAAGAAGCACCGGCUAACUACGUG